UACGUAGGGUGCGAGCGUUGUCCGGAAUUAUUGGGCGUAAAGAGCUCGUAGGCGGUGUGUCACGUCGAUCGUGAAAACUUUCAGCUUAACUGGGAGCUUGCGGUCGAUACGGGCAUCACUGGAGUUCGGCAGGGGAGACUGGAAUUCAAGGUGUAGCGGUGAAAUGCGCAGAUAUCUUGAGGAACACCGGUGGCGAAGGCGGCAUCCUGGACCAAUUCUGACGCUGAGGAGCGAAAGCCAGGGGAGCAAACGGG
rnacentral:rRNA from 1 species